rnacentral:lncRNA from 1 species
AGACGCAGCUGCAGUCGUCUUGCCUCGCUGCAGCCUGCUGAGCUUGCUGAGCCUGCCGAGCAGCCGCACUGAAGACCUCAGGACCCUUGCCAGCACUGGAGAUCUGAGAUCGUCAGGUGUGCCUUUCCCACUCUCUGCUCCAGCCUGGCCUGCUGCCCCAGCCCCUGACAUCCCAUCACGCCGAUUCUCUGGCUGCUUGGCACCUGUGUUUAUUUACUUUCUUACUAUCCACACUUGAUUGGAAGGAAGAAAGGGAAAGUUUUUAAAAAAUGCCCAUCGCACAGUUGCUGGAACUAUGGAAGAAGAUCGAGGUGGAACCCAUGGAGACAGAGACCGCCGAAGAGGAACUCGCCUUGGAUGUUGAGCCCACCCCAGAAGAUACCACAGAAGAAGGCAAAGGAGACACAACCUCCUCAGCUGAGACGCAGCCAGCCUCCUCAUCGUCCGCAGAGCCCUGCUCCAGCACUUGUUCCCAACCUGACCAGGAAUCCCUCUUGUCCUGGACUCCGCUUCCCCGUUCCAGCCUGGCGUGCAGCUGUGCUCCUCCGUGGGGAAACAUGGACUGCGGCCCCCACCUGGAACCACCCUGCCCUGUUCUCCCCGAGCCGCUGUAUCUGCAUAACUAGAGAGGAGGCAGAACUCAGCACCACACUCUUCCCCACCCCAGCCAAAAAUCCAUGAAAAAAAAUCCUUAUGUUUCAAUCAAACUUGGUCAUUGCAGAUUGAAAUAAUUAAAAUAAACUUGAUCACGAAGGC